rnacentral:rRNA from 1 species
GAAAGAUGAAAAGCACUUUGAAAAGAGAGUUAAACAGCACGUGAAAUUGUUGAAAGGGAAGCGCUUGCGACCAGACUCGGCCUCGGGGUUCAGCCAGCAUUCGUGCUGGUGUACUUCCCCGGGGCCGGGCCAGCGUCGGUUCGGGCGGCCGGUCAAAGGCCCCAGGAAUGUAUCGUCCUCCGGGACGUCUUAUAGCCUGGGGUGCAAUGCGGCCAGCC